CUCCCACUGUGGAGGAGAGGAGGAGACCAGCAUCAGCACACCUGGCUCUACAGCUGCCUGACAGGUGUUCUGGUGGUCCUUUGCUCCACCCUCACAGGUAGGCUCCUCCCCUCCUCACCGUCCAUGGCGGCCUUCUCCUCCUGCACGUGCUGCAGCUGCUUCAGCAGCUUCCUCCUCUUCUUCCCGGACAGGGUGAUGUUGGACCUGGCGCUGGACCUGCGGGGGGAGGAGCGGAGGUGAGCUCAGGUGUGGCAGUGGGCGGAGCUGCGGGCGGAGCUCGGACCUUCUCUUCUUCAGGUGGUGCACCGUGAUGAGCCCCCGGUCCACCACGGCCCCCACCACGCGGUGCUUUCUCCUCCUCUCGCGGCCCUGAACCCUCCGCCGCUUGAAGAGCUUCUUCCCGAGCUCCUGCAGGAGAAGCAGCGGAUCAGAGCUCCGUCUGACCCCCGCCCGAGAGGAGCUCCGAGCCGCACGGCGGUCCGUGAACGCCGCACGGCGGUCCGUGAACGCCUCACGGGCGUCACUGCACCAAAUGUCAAAAACAACCCGGGAAAGUGUCUUUCUCACCGUCUUCGGUCUGUUGAUCUUCCCUCCUGGGGGAGACAUGCUGCCAGAACCCGCUCACGUGCUGCUGCUGCCUCUUCUUCUGCGUGUUUCUGCACGUUCUGGCCUCUGCCGCCCCCUGCAGGUCAGGGUGAGCACGACAGCGAGAGCGCCCGGACCUGAGACCCAAUGAGCCGCCUCACUGACUGUAUAAUUUAUGUCAUUAUUAGACAUUAAUAUAUGUCUAUGACCCGCCUAUGUCUUGGUUUCCAUGGUUACCAUUAAAGAAGGUUUUGACGCGUUUCUUCUGUUCAUGUUGAAGCAACACUGACAUCUGGUGGACACAGCAGGAACUGCAGCUUCUGGAUUCCAGUUCAUGACUUUGUUUGUUUUUAUCCCGCGUGAGCGAAAAUGAAAACAAGAACCGUUUCCUCUGCAAACAGCUGAUCAGAACCAGAACCCAUCUGAAGGAGAUCCUCUACGGUGAAGGAGGAGAGCAACGACACCGGAGCGCCGCAGGACGUCACCUUCAGUGUGUUCAACGGUCCUCACAACAGCACAUAAACACACACACCCGUCUGGUUCUGAUGAUCCGUUUCCUCUGAAGUUCGCAUCUCUCAGAUUCUGUAGAACAGGACGCAGAUUCAGCUUCAGUUCAGGGGUUUUUACUCAAACCCAGAGAGCAUCUUAACAUUCUCUGCAGGAACUGAGGAGCAGAAACGACCAGAACCUUCAUCGGAUCAUUCUGGGAAGAACCCAGAAGAACCUCGGAUCAUUCUGGAAGAAAAGAAGAAUUUCAGCUGGAAGGAUUCCUCUGACAUCAUCAUGAUGACGCCGUCCAUCUACAGACGUCCUGCAGCGGUCUUCAAGCUCCGGAUCCCGGAUCCUGGCUGGGAUCUGCAGGAUCGAGGAGGAUCUUCAGGAGACCCAGGAACUCGGACAGAUUACCUCUGCUGGUUCUGGAACAGGUCCAGAACCACAAAUAAACAGGUUCUCCAAGAACUUCUCUGGAACUGCCCAAAGUCUCACCAGCAGAACCAGAGGUCCAAACUCAGAACUUCUCAGAACCUGUCAGGUCCUCAGUUUGCAUCAGAGCUUCAGCACACACACACACACUCACACUCACUUGAGUCUGCGCCUCCUUCUUCUCCUGGUGGGAGGGGUCCUGUGUUGCUCCUCGGAGGAGCACGUCUGCGUCUGCUCGGGUUCGGGGGGGAAAGCCUUUUAAAGGCAGAGAGCCCCUCCCCCUGACAUCACCCCCCCUCGCAGACUCAGUGUAAAUGGAUGGAUUUACUCACUCUCUGCCCCCACACCCUCAGCCCCUCCCCCGCUGUCAGGGAGGGAGGGGCUGGACCGGCUCUGCAGAAUGUGCGGGUCAGAACUUUUUGACCGAUACGGGUCGUUCCAGCCCCCCCAGUGGCCCUGACCUUUAUCAGUUGAUGGAAGCAGACGUGGGGGGUGGGGGGGCGUCAUUCUGUCGUCAGAGACCGGGGGGCGGAGCUAACAGAAAACACCUUCUAUAGGACUGUUAGGUUCAGGACGGUCCUGCUGUGGUGGAGUGGACGGCGACGCGCGGGAGCAGCUGCACAAUUCUACUGCAGGAGGUGCUUCUCCUCCUUGAGGAGCACUGAGGAGCUCUGUGAUUCUCCUCCUCCUUGGUUCUCCUCCUCCUUGGUUCUCCUCCUCUGUUGUUCUCCUUCUCCUUGGUUCUCCUCCUCCGUGGUUCUCC